rnacentral:rRNA from 1 species
UUGGAGGGCAAGUCUGGUGCCAGCAGCCGCGGUAAUUCCAGCUCCAAUAGCGUAUAUUAAAGUUGUUGCAGUUAAAAAGCUCGUAGUUGAAUUUCGGGGUUAGUAGGCUGGUCAUGCCUCUGGUAUGUACUGGUCUCACUGAUUCCUCCUUUCUGAUGAACCGUAAUGCCAUUAAUUUGGUGUUGCGGGGAAUUUGGACUGUUACUUUGAAAAAAUUAGAGUGUUUAAAGCAAGCUAACGCUUGAAUACAUUAGCAUAGAAUAAUGAAAUAGGACGUUCGAUCCUAUUUUGUUGGUUUCUAGGAUUGACGUAAUGAUUAAUAGGGAUAGUUGGGGGCAUUAGUAUUCAAUUGUCAGAGGUGAAAUUCUUGGAUUUAUUGAAGACUAACUACUGCGAAAGCAUUUGCCAAGGAUGUUUUCAUUAAUCAAGAACGAAAGUUAGGGGAUCGAAGACGAUCAGAUACCGUCGUAGUCUUAACCAUAAACUAUGCCGACUAGGGAUCGGAUGAUGUUAAUUUUUUAAUGACUCAUUCGGCGCCUUACGGGAAAC